AUCCAGCUAAUAAGUCCCACACAGGAUAAAACGCGUGUCCUGGAU
rnacentral:hammerhead_ribozyme from 1 species